CAUAUUAGCCAAUAUCGAUAAUUAUUGAUUAGUUUUUUGUUUUAAAUGUUUGAAAUACUGCCAAACCCAGUGGUGUGACCUUUUCCUAUUUUAUCCACAGUUUUCACUCCACGGUUUUGUUACUUAUGAGGCGAAACCCGAAUCUGCAGCUGCGCAAGCUACUCAACAGGUUGUUGCUAGGCAACCAGAGAGUCACCUAGCAACUCUCGAUGCUUGCUUAGCUAAAAGUGAGAGAUAAAACCUUUCCUUUGCCUUCAUCUCCCAGAAUGCUGUGCGGUUCUGGAUCGGAGUUCAGUUGGUUGGUGAUGCAGCCAAGUCCCGGUCCUCAACAAUGGGCCAUUUGAGCCGGGCACGGUGGAAAACUGCAGUCAUGGUUGGGCUUAUUGAUCCCUGAAGACGAGGUUAACUUCCUUCGUUCUGGAUGUGAGCGGGGAGGACGGGAAGGGGUCAGACAUUUGCCGGAAAACCGCGGUCCAGGAAGGUCCCCUGGGUCCGGCAGGAAGUGACUCACGGAUCAAACCUUGGAGGUUUCUGCUUGGAUUGUUCCAAAUGUCAGGACCUCCACUCAUGAUUUCUCAAUAAAUGUCAAAAAAAUCUGACUUUUAUGAAGGAAA